rnacentral:tRNA from 1 species
AGGGACUUAGGCUAAACUUAAACCGGCGGCCUUCAAAGCCGCAAACAAGAGUUUGAACCUCUUAGACCCUG